UACGGAAGCAGCAGUGGGGAAUAUUGCACAAUGGGCGAAAGCCUGAUGCAGCUAUGCCGCGUGUAUGAAGAAGGCCUUAGGGUUGUAAAGUACUUUCAUCGGGGAGGAAAAAACAAAACUAAUAAUUUUAUUUCUUGACGUUACCCGAAAAAGAAGCACCGGCUAACUCCGUGCCAGCAGCCGCGGUAAUACGGAGGGUGCUAGCGUUAAUCAGAAUUACUGGGCGUAAAGAGCACGUAGGUGGUUUUUUAAGUCAGAUGUGAAAUCCCUGGGCUUAACCUAGGAACUGCAUUUUGAAACUGAAAUACUAGAGUAUCGUAGAGGGAGGUAGAAUUCUAGGUGUAGCGGUGAAAUGCGUAGAUAUCUGGAGGAAUACCUGUGGCGAAAGCGGCCUCCUAAACGAAUACUGACACUGAGGUGCGAAAGCGUUGGGGAGCAAACAGGGAUUAGAUACC
rnacentral:rRNA from 1 species